rnacentral:rRNA from 1 species
UACAGAGGUCUCAAGCGUUGUUCGGAUUCAUUGGGCGUAAAGGGUGCGUAGGCGGCGCGGUAAGUCGGGUGUGAAAUCUCGGAGCUUAACUCCGAAACUGCAUUCGAUACUGCCGUGCUUGAGGACUGGAGAGGAGACUGGAAUUUACGGUGUAGCGGUGAAAUGCGUAGAUAUCGUAAGGAAGACCAGUGGCGAAGGCGGGUCUCUGGACAGUUCCUGACGCUGAAGCACGAAGGCCAGGGGAGCGAACGGG